rnacentral:rRNA from 1 species
CACGUAGGCGCAAGCGUUGUCCGGAAUUAUUGGGCGUAAAGAGCGUGUAGGCGGUCUGGUAGGUCCGUUGUGAAAACUCGAGGCUCAACCUCGAGACGCCGAUGGAAACCCUCAGACUAGAGUCCGGAAAGAGGAGAGUGGAAUUCCGUGGUGUAGCGGUGAAAUGCGCAGAUAUACAGGAGGAACAGCCGGUGGCGAAGGCGGGUCUCUGGGCCGAUACUGACGCUGAGGAGCGAAAGCGUGGGGAGCAAACAGG